ensembl:lncRNA
UGAGUACUUACUGCAUACAACGCACCACGCCCCGAAGGUACAGGGUGAAGAAGACACAGUCCCAUCCCCCAGAGAGACAGAUAGUAAGCAGAAAAGUGACAAUACCACAUGCUCGUCAAGGUUGGGAACUCAGAUGAAGGCAGGCGCAUCUUCCCUGGGGUAACUCGAGAAGCUUCGCGUCAGAGGCAGCAUUUGAGCUGAGGCUUUUUUUGUUGUUGUUAGUGAGUUUUUUUUCUUCUUCUUCUUCUCCCCAAAGCCCCCCACUACAUAGUUGUGCAUCCUAGUUGUGGGUCCUUCUAGUUGUGGCGUAUGGGACGCCACCUCAGUGUGGCCUGAUGAGCAGUGCCAUGUCUGCGCCCAGGAUCCAAACCCGCAAAACCCUGGGCCACUGAUCAGAGCACAUGAACUUAACCACUCGGCCACGGGGCCGGCCCCUGAGCUGAGUCUUAAGAGGUGCACGGGCAGAGGGAACAGCGUCAGGCAGGGACCAGCAUGUUCAGAGCAACCGUGCACAGCAGCAGUGGCAGGAGAAUUAGACCCGGAGAGGAGAGGCAGACGGGAGUCAUAUUGUGGAAACAUGCCUGCCCAACUCAGAAAUUUAGACUUUUUACUCUAGACAAAAUAUUUCCGAGCAGGGAGUGACAAGACCAUGGCAGCUCUUUUUUUUUUCUUUUUAAACAGUCAUUUUGUAGGUUAGAUGUGAAGAGCGAAAGCUUGAAGAUCAUCAACAGGCCAUUCGUUCAAGCCUGGGUGUGAGAAGCCGGAUCUGGGUGGUGGCUGUGAACAGAGAGGAAGGGACACCAGAAAGGAAGAAAGAAGGAGGAAUCCGAGGACCAACAGACUAUGAGGAAAGCAUCUGACAUGAAAACAGAGACCCACACAAACGGACGAAAGCAGCUGGGAGGACACUGCUGGGCAGAUGGAAGAAAAGUUUUUAAAAAAUCAUUUAUUCCAAGAGAAAUAUGAUCUUGCACCCAUGAAAUAAGAAUAAGAUGCUUUAAAAAUGAACACUCAGAGCCCAAAAUGAGGUCUUAGAAAUUAAAAAUAGAACAGAAGUGAAAAUUAAACAGGAAGGCUGGAAGUUAAAGAUAUCCUCCCCAAACUACAGAAAACAAAAUGAC